UACAGAGGGUGCGAGCGUUGUCCGGAAUCACUGGGCGUAAAGGGCGCGUAGGCGGUGACUUAAGCGUGUGGUGAAAGCUCGGGGCUCAACCCCGAGUCGGCCGUGCGAACUGGGUCACUGGAGCAUGUCAGAGGCAGGCGGAAUUCCGGGUGUAGCGGUGGAAUGCGUAGAUAUCUGGAGGAACACCGGUGGCGAAGGCGGCAUCCUGGACCGAUACUGACGCUGAGGAGCGAAAGCCAGGGGAGCAAACGGG
rnacentral:rRNA from 1 species